GUUCUCUAGGGAGCAUGUGCACACUUGUCAUCUUUAUAUCUUCUCACCUGUGCACCUUUUGUAGACCUAGGUCUAUGUCUCUUCAUAUACUCUCAAUGUAUGUUAUUGAAUGUAAUAUAGGCCUUUGUGCCUUUAAAAUGUUAUACAACUUUCAGCAACGGAUCUCUUGGCUCUCGCAUCGAUGAAGAACGCAGCGAAAUGCGAUAAGUAAUGUGAAUUGCAGAAUUCAGUGAAUCAUCGAAUUUUUGAACGCACCUUGCGCUCCUUGGUAUUCCGAGGAGCAUGCCUGUUUGAGUGUCAUUUAAUAUAUCAACCUCUUGUUGAGUGUUGGAAGUGGGGGUCUCUUUUGCUGGUCUCUUAUAGGAUCAGCUCCCCUGAAAUGUAUUAGCAGAACAAUCUUGUUCAUUGGUGUGAUAAACUAUUUACACUAUUGACAUGAGCAAAGUUCAGCUUCUAAUAGUCCAUUGACUUGGA
rnacentral:rRNA from 1 species